GAUGAACGCUGGCGGCGUGCUUAACACAUGCAAGUCGAACGGUGAAGCAGAGCUUGCUCUGUGUAUCAGUGGCGAACGGGUGAGUAGCACGUGAGCAACCUGCCCCUGACUCUGGGAUAAGCGCUGGAAACGGCGUCUAAUACUGGAUAUGAGCUGCGACCGCAUGGUCAGCAGUUGGAAAGAUUUUUCGGUCUGGGAUGGGCUCACGGCCUAUCAGCUUGUUGGUGAGGUAAUGGCUCACCAAGGCGUCGACGGGUAGCCGGCCUGAGAGGGUGACCGGCCACACUGGGACUGAGACACGGCCCAGACUCCUACGGGAGGCAGCAGUGGGGAAUAUUGCACAAUGGGCGAAAGCCUGAUGCAGCAGCGCCGCGUGAGGGAUGACGGCCUUCGGGUUGUAAACCUCUUUUAGCAGGGAAGAAGCGAAAGUGACGGUACCUGCAGAAAAAGCGCCGGCUAACUACGUG
rnacentral:rRNA from 1 species